rnacentral:rRNA from 1 species
UACAGAGGUCCCAAGCGUUUGUUCGGAUUCAUUGGGCGUAAAGGGUGCGUAGGCGGCGCGGUAAGUCGGGUGUGAAAUACCCGAGCUUAACUUGGGUGCUGCAUUUGAAACUGGGUGUCUAGAGUGCAGGAGAGGUAAGUGGAAUUCCUAGUGUAGCGGUGAAAUGCGUAGAGAUUAGGAAGAACACCAGUGGCGAAGGCGACUUACUGGACUGUAACUGACGCUGAGGCAUGAAAGCGUGGGGAGCAAACAGG